UACGUAGGGGGCAAGCGUUGUCCGGAUUUAUUGGGCGUAAAGAGCGUGUAGGCGGUUAUACAGGUCCGCUGUGAAAACUGGAGGCUUAACCUCCAGACGUCGGUGGAAACCGUAUAACUAGAGUCCGGAAGAGGAGAGUGGGAAUUCCUGGUGUAGCGGUGAAAUGCGCAGAUAUCAGGAAGAACACCCGUGGCGAAGGCGGCUCUCUGGGACGGUACUUGACGCUGAGACGCGAAAGCGUGGGGAGCGAACAGG
rnacentral:rRNA from 1 species